AGAGCAAGUCCAGCAAGAGUUGAACACAGGCUGCCAGAAUUCCACCCUUGUCUCAUUCCGAGAUUGUGUGCUGAGGGUUUUCAACUGCAUCUCUAAAGGGAAGGCCAAAGAAAGAGCAACAGGAAAGGAUGGUAAAAAGGGGGUAGAAAGGAAGAAGGAAGGGAAGAAAAAAGGGAAAACAGCAAGCUCUCUUUCCAGAGCCACACAUUUUUUUCUGUUUGCUCAGUGGCAGUCUGUUAAAGAAAUACUUCAUUGUCACUGAACACAGAGUCAUUAAAGGCACCUUGGAAAUUUGGACCCUUUUACUAGAAUCAGGGCUUAAAUAGCAACUUAAUUUAUGACACUUCUCGAGGCUGAUGGCGUUUUUGCUCUAAGACCUGCCUUGCAAGAAAUGUUAAAAGAAGUGCUUUAGAGAGCAGGGAAAUUCUAUAGGUCAGACACUUGGAUCUACAUAAAAAAAGGAAGAAACCAAAGGAGAAAUAAGUGAAGGCAUGGAAACCUUGUUCCACACAUUGCCUGGUGCCCUGUCCAGCGCUGCAAGGUGCACUGCGUCUCCUCUGCCCAGCAAGCCACAAGCCCCUCCAGGGUGAGAGGAGAGCCUUCCCUUCCCUUGGUCCUCCCUUCGACACAGGGAGCUGGAGCUGGACAGCCCCAUAGGCACUCAGGGCUUGAAGAAGAUAUCUAGAAAUGUCAAAGCAGAAGAGCCUCGGAGAUAAUCUGAACUAUUUCUGAGUUUAUAUAAGGGAAAACUGAGACUGGAGAGAACUAACAUGUCUAAUAUUACAAUGGAAACUUGUAAUAAAACCACAAAUUGAGUCAA
ensembl:lncRNA LINC01791 long intergenic non-protein coding RNA 1791